rnacentral:rRNA from 1 species
GCUUAACACAUGCAAGUCGAACGGGGAUAUGUUAUGGAAGUACUUCGGUACCAAAGUGCAUAUCUUAGUGGCGGACGGGUGAGUAACGCGUGAGCAACCUACCCAUCAGAGGGGGACAACAGUUGGAAACGACUGCUAGUACCGCAUAAGACCACGAUAUCACAUGAUAUUGAGGUUAAAGAUUUAUCGCUGAUGGAUGGGCUCGCGUCCCAUUAGGUAGUUGGUAGGGUAAAGGCCUACCAAGCCUGCGAUGGGUAACCGACCUGAGAGGGUGAUCGGUCACACUGGAACUGAGAGACGGUCCAGACUCCUACGGGAGGCAGCAGUGGGGAAUAUUGGGCAAUGGACGAAAGUCUGACCCAGCAACGCCGCGUGAAGGAAGAAGGUUUUCGGAUUGUAAACUUCUGUAAUCGGGGACGAAGGAAAUGACGGUACCCGAGAAGUAAGCCCCGGCUAACUACGUGCCAGCCGCCGCAGUAA